rnacentral:rRNA from 1 species
UACGGAGGGUGCAAGCGUUAUCCGGAUUCACUGGGUUUAAAGGGUGCGUAGGUGGGCUGGUAAGUCAGUGGUGAAAUCUCCGAGCUUAACUCGGAAACUGCCAUUGAUACUAUCAGUCUUGAAUACCGUGGAGGUCAGUAGAAUAUGUCAUGUAGCGGUGAAAUGCUUAGAUAUGACAUAGAAUACCAAUUGCGAAGGCAGCUGGCUACACGAAUAUUGACACUCGGGCACGAAAGCGUGGGGAUCAAACAGG